rnacentral:lncRNA from 1 species
UGAAAUUAUUGAAAUAAAACACUAUUACCAAAGAAUGAAAACAUUCAUUACGGAAAUUAAUUAGUAAACAUUUUUGAAAAUUUAAAUAAACAUGUACAGCCCAAGUUUGACCUGAGGCCCAGUAUUAAACCUAAACCCAACUACCUACCUAAAACCCAAACCUAAAUCAUCAACCCAAUUAAACCAAACUAAACCCAAUCCCAAUUAAACCAAUUAAGCCUAACCUACCCUAACCCAAACACCCAAACCCACACAUAGGCCCAAGAGACUAAACCAACUCAGAAACCCUAGGGUUUUUGAGCCUUCCUAACGCCGCACACACCACGUGCCUCAUCGGCACCUCCAAUGCCCGAGGCUCGGCUCCCCUUGUCUCGUUGCACCAAAACGGAAGGCCUAUUUUGUUGACCUUCCCCGACCUACAAGCAUACCCAAAAAAAGAAAUAAAAUAACACAGCACGCAAGGGCAACAAAGGCAGAAAAAAAAAUUGUAUUCGGCUAGAUAGCCACAACACGAAAAAUGUAAUUUUUUUACGGACACAGAUUAAGAAAUCAAAGAGCGAAAACAGAAAAAAAAAGAUUGAUUCAAUUUUCUUUUCGUUUGCCUUUCAUUUUCCUGUUUCUUUUAUUGUUUUUUGUUUGCAAAUUUAUUUUAAAUAAUAAAUAAUAAAAAAACAAAAAAGAAAACCUCACCUUUCGCGUUUACAUCGUCGGAAAGAGGGAACCACCUCCGAUAAAGGGUGGUCGGAGGCCGAAAGGCCCUUUGCUCGUUUGAGGCGUUUCUGUCGGGUAUCGAGGUUUUGGGCUUUGAAUCGGGCUUGAGGAAGGCAAAACGGCCUUAAAGGCCCCUUCUUGUUAUCCGACUGCUGUAUGCAGCGGUUGUCAGUGGUCUGGUGGCCGGAAAUCGCCUAGGCCAGAGGAACCCCCCUCCUUCUCUCUUUUUUUUUCUUAAGGUACC